UUGUGACUUGUUAUCAAAAUUGUCAGUAUUUACAAACUCUAAGAAGACAUUAAAUGCGCACCACCAACGAAUUCAAUUGCAACAGUUGUCAACAUAAUUUACUUUUUGGAAUAAUAGCAUUUACUUUACUUCUGUUUGUUCUCUACAUGUUAUUAAAAGCGAAUAUUUAAGUAAGUUUAAAUGUUACCUGUCUGGUUCAAUGCUUUUGGCAAUAAUGCUAAGGCAUGUAAUUAAGGAGAUGGAUUAGUGGAAACAAGAAACCAGUUUGAGAAAUACUUACGUCCUACAAUGUAUCUUCCAGAAUCGGACACCUUCAAGUUUGUGAUGACUAAAAUUCCUCUUCCGUCAUCGAUGGCAUGAGCCGGGAGUCCAGCACCGUCUUUGGUCCAUGUCACUCUAAUUGGUCUAGGCCCCAACAGUGAUCGUGCACUACAGUUGAAUCUAACAGUGCUACCAACUUUGUAAAUCUCAAUUACGGGAGCUACAAUUGUUAUUUCCAUCGUAAGUGGAUGUGGAGUGGAAUAAACCGGUCCCGGUGUUGUAGUCACAUUCCCGUCUAAAAAUGCGAAAAAUCAUAUUAACAAAUGAAUAGGGAUUCUUGUUAUGUUGUUAAAUACACACAAAAUAUUAGUACCAAUGCGUGGACGACCACAUCGUUAUAUUGUUAACAAAAAUAAAAUCGUAUUUAAUAACUCCACCUACUACCAAGAACGAUGAACACUAGAAAACAAGAAGCUAACUGAUGGACUCAACUGAACAGUACCCUUUCAAAUAUGGAUAAUUAAAAAUGGAAUUUGAAAGAAUACUUGUCCAGUGUUCUACGUUUUUGAAGACAGUUCGAACCUGGAUUCACCAGUGAAGUUACCGUGCCUACAAUCGUACCGUCACUGGUCGAAAUAACACACUGUAUAUGGUGCGCGAAACAAUCAUUUACUUGAUAAUACCAGAUGGAGCUUCCAUUCUGUGAUACUUCUGAAUUGACCGCCACUCCAUUGUCACGGAAUGUGACAUUUAGUAUGUCCAUGCUCUUGUAUGUACAAUGGAAUAAAAAAUAACUGCCAA